rnacentral:rRNA from 1 species
GAUGAACGCUGGCGGCGUGCCUAAUACAUGCAAGUCGAGCGAACGGACGAGAAGCUUGCUUCUCUGAUAUUAGCGGCGGACGGGUGAGUAACACGUGGAUAACCCACCUAUAAGACUGGGAUAACUUCGGGAAACCGUAGCUAACACCGGAUAAUAUUUUGAACCGCAUGGUUCAAAAGAGAAAGACGGCCUUGCUGUCACUUAUAGAUGGAUCCGCGCUGCAUUAGCUAGUUGGUAAGGUAACGGCUUACCAAGGCAACGAUGCAUAGCCGACCUGAGAGGGUGAUCGGCCACACUGGAACUGAGACACGGUCCAGACUCCUACGGGAGGCAGCAGUAGGGAAUCUUCCGCAGUGGGCGGAAGCCUGACGGAGCAGCGCCGCGUGAGUGAUGAAGGUCUUCGGAUCGUAAAACUCUGUUAUUGGGGAAGAACAUAUGUGUAAGUAACUGUGCACAUCUUGACGGUACCUAAUCAGAAAGCCACGGCUAACUACGUG